UACAGAGGGUGCAAGCGUUGUUCGGAAUUAUUGGGCGUAAAGGGCGCGUAGGCGGUGCCACAAGUCACCUGUGAAAUCUCCGGGCUUAACUCGGAGCCUGCAGGCGAAACUGCCGUGCUUGAGUGUGGGAGAGGUGAGUGGAAUUCCCGGUGUAGCGGUGAAAUGCGCAGAUAUCAGGAGGAACACCGAUGGCGAAGGCAGGUCUCUGGGCCACUACUGACGCUGAGAAGCGAAAGCAUGGGGAGCGAACAGG
rnacentral:rRNA from 1 species